AUGUUAAAGUCAGUAAUACAGUUGACCAAAGGGCUCGUAAUAUUAUUCCUGGUGCAGAGGGUUUUCUAAGACAGAAGCUAUCUGGCCAAGGGCUUGCAUUUAUAAUUGCAGGUGGAUCUGUUGUACAGAAAAAUCUUGAGGUGGGCAAGGUACUAUCUGUUGAUGUUUCUUGUAUAGUAGUUGUGACUAGCUACAAUAGUCAACGUCCA